GUUUUCACUUUAAUUCUCCUAAAGCCCCGCCCUUGGUCCUCCUUUUCCAGCUUUGGGGCACAACGUGAAGACCCUCACAGUCAACGUCACCAUCUCCACCCUACGGUAUUCAUCAGACAUGAGCAAUGGCUAGGCCACGUUCAACUUCACUGAGAGGGUCCUGCAGAGCCUGGUGAAACCCUGGUUCCAGCAGCUCCUGGCCUGAGAAGGAUGGGGCAGCCACCUGUGUGGACGCUGUCUGCACCCACCACCCUGACCC